rnacentral:rRNA from 1 species
UACGGAGGGUGCAAGCGUUAUCCGGAUUCACUGGGUUUAAAGGGUGCGUAGGUGGGCAGGUAAGUCCGUGGUGAAAUCUCUGAGCUUAACUCAGAAACUGCCGUGGAUACUAUUUGUCUUGAAUAUUGUGGAGGUGAGCGGAAUAUGUCAUGUAGCGGUGAAAAUGCUUAGAUAUGACAUAGAACACCAAUUGCGAAGGCAGCUCACUACACAAUUUAUUGACGCUGAGGCACGAAAGCGUGGGGAUCAAACAGG